GUACACUCCUGCGGGAGGCAGCAGUGGGGAAUAUUGGACAAUGGGCGCAAGCCUGAUCCAGCCAUGCCGCGUGAGUGAUGAAGGCCCUAGGGUUGUAAAGCUCUUUCACCGGUGAAGAUAAUGACGGUAACCGGAGAAGAAGCCCCGGCUAACUUCGUGCCAGCAGCCGCGGUAAUACGAAGGGGGCUAGCGUUGUUCGGAUUUACUGGGCGUAAAGCGCACGUAGGCGGACUAUUAAGUCAGGGGUGAAAUCCCGGGGCUCAACCCCGGAACUGCCUUUGAUACUGGUAGUCUUGAGUUCGAGAGAGGUGAGUGGAAUUCCGGGUGUAGAGGUGAAAUUCGUAGAUAUUCGGAGGAACACCAGUGGCGAAGGCGGCUCACUGGCUCGAUACUGACGCUGAGGUGCGAAAGCGUGGGGAGCAAACAGGAUUAGAAACCCUGGUAGUCCCAUGA
rnacentral:rRNA from 1 species